rnacentral:rRNA from 1 species
AAWAMUGMCRMGUUCGAACGGAGAAGCCAGAGCUUGCUCUGGUGGAAAGUGGCGAACGGGUGAGUAACACGUGAGAAACCUGCCCCAAAGAUUGGGAUAAGCCUUGGAAACGAGGUCUAAUACCAAAUACCUUCUUUUUAACACAUGUUAAAAAGAAGAAAUGCUCCGGCGCUUUGGGAUGGUCUCGCGAUCUAUCAGCUUGUUGGUGAGGUAACGGCUCACCAAGGCAUCGACGGAUAGCUGGUCUGAGAGGAUGUCCAGCCACAUUGGAACUGAGACACGGUCCAAACUCCUACGGGAGGCAGCAGUCGGGAAUUUUGGGCAAUGGGCGAAAGCCUGACCCAGCAACGCCGCGUGAAGGAUGAAGUAUUUCGGUAUGUAAACUUCGAAAGAAUAGGAAGAAUUAAUGACGGUACUAUUUAUAAGGUCCGGCUAACUACGUGCCAGCAGCCGCGGUAAUACGUAUGGACCAAGCGUUGUUCGGAUUUACUGGGUGUAAAGGGCGCGUAGGCGGUGCGGUAAGUCACUUGUGAAAUCUCUGAGCUUAACUCAGAACGGCCAAGUGAUACUGCAGUACUAGAGUGCAGAAGGGGCAAUCAGAAUUCUUGGUGUAGCGGUGAAAUGCGUAGAUAUCARGAGGAAUACCUGAGGUGAAGACGGGKUUGCUAGGCUGACACUGACGCUGAGGCGCGAAAGCUAGGGGAGCAAACGGGAUUAGAUACUCCGGUAGUCCUAGCUCUAAACGAUGAAUACUUGGGUGUCUGGAGUCUUUAAUGCUCCGGGUGCCGUCGCUAACGGUUUUAAGUAUUWCCGCCUGGGGGAGUACCKCUCGCMAGRAGUG